GGGUUGUGAGGUUAAGCGACUAAGCGUACACGGUGGAUGCCCUGGCAGUCAGAGGCGAUGAAGGACGUGCUAAUCUGCGAUAAGCGCCGGUAAGGUGAUAUGAACCGUUAUAACCGGCGAUUUCCGAAUGGGGAAACCCAGUGUGAUUCGUCACACUAUCAUUAACUGAAUCCAUAGGUUAAUGAGGCGAACCGGGGGAACUGAAACAUCUAAGUACCCCGAGGAAAAGAAAUCAACCGAGAUUCCCCCAGUAGCGGCGAGCGAACGGGGAGGAGCCCAGAGCCUGAAUCAGCAUGUGUGUUAGUGGAAGCGUCUGGAAAGGUGCGCGAUACAGGGUGACAGCCCCGUACACAAAAGCGCAUGUGCUGUGAGCUCGAUGAGUAGGGCGGGACACGUGGUAUCCUGUCUGAAUAUGGGGGGACCAUCCUCCAAGGCUAAAUACUCCUGACUGACCGAUAGUGAACCAGUACCGUGAGGGAAAGGCGAAAAGAACCCCGGCGAGGGGAGUGAAAAAGAACCUGAAACCGUGUACGUACAAGCAGUGGGAGCACAGGUUUACCUGUGUGACUGCGUACCUUUUGUAUAAUGGGUCAGCGACUUAUAUUCUGUAGCAAGGUUAACCGUAUAGGGGAGCCGUAGGGAAACCGAGUCUUAACCGGGCGUUAAGUUGCAGGGUAUAGACCCGAAACCCGGUGAUCUAGCCAUGGGCAGGUUGAAGGUUGGGUAACACUAACUGGAGGACCGAACCGACUAAUGUUGAAAAAUUAGCGGAUGACCUGUGGCUGGGGGUGAAAGGCCAAUCAAACCGGGAGAUAGCUGGUUCUCCCCGAAAGCUAUUUAGGUAGCGCCUCGUGAAUUCAUCUCCGGGGGUAGAGCACUGUUUCGGCUAGGGGGCCAUCCCGGCUUACCAACCCGAUGCAAACUGCGAAUACCGGAGAAUGUUAUCACGGGAGACACACGGCGGGUGCUAACGUCCGUCGUGAAGAGGGAAACAACCCAGACCGCCAGCUAAGGUCCCAAAGUCAUGGUUAAGUGGGAAACGAUGUGGGAAGGCCCAGACAGCCAGGAUGUUGGCUUAGAAGCAGCCAUCAUUUAAAGAAAGCGUAAUAGCUCACUGGUCGAGUCGGCCUGCGCGGAAGAUGUAACGGGGCUAAACCAUGCACCGAAGCUGCGGCAGCGAACGUAUCACCCAAGACAACUUUACGGAGUUGACGAUUGACGGAGCGAAGCGACGUCAAAGCGUUCAUUAAAGUCGAGUUGGCUUAGGGAUACGUUCGUUGGGUAGGGGAGCGUUCUGUAAGCCUGUGAAGGUGUGUCGUGAGGCAUGCUGGAGGUAUCAGAAGUGCGAAUGCUGACAUAAGUAACGAUAAAGCGGGUGAAAAGCCCGCUCGCCGGAAGACCAAGGGUUCCUGUCCAACGUUAAUCGGGGCAGGGUGAGUCGACCCCUAAGGCGAGGCCGAAAGGCGUAGUCGAUGGGAAACGGGUUAAUAUUCCCGUACUUGGUGUUACUGCGAAGGGGGGACGGAGAAGGCUAUGUUGGCCGGGCGACGGUUGUCCCGGUUUAAGCGUGUAGGUGUGUGUUCCAGGUAAAUCCGGUUCACUUUAACACUGAGGCGUGACGACGAGGCACUACGGUGCUGAAGCAACAAAUGCCCUGCUUCCAGGAAAAGCCUCUAAGCAUCAGGUAACAUCAAAUCGUACCCCAAACCGACACAGGUGGUCAGGUAGAGAAUACCAAGGCGCUUGAGAGAACUCGGGUGAAGGAACUAGGCAAAAUGGUGCCGUAACUUCGGGAGAAGGCACGCUGACACGUAGGUGAAGUGAUUUACUCAUGGAGCUGAAGUCAGUCGAAGAUACCAGCUGGCUGCAACUGUUUAUUAAAAACACAGCACUGUGCAAACACGAAAGUGGACGUAUACGGUGUGACGCCUGCCCGGUGCCGGAAGGUUAAUUGAUGGGGUCAGCGUAAGCGAAGCUCCUGAUCGAAGCCCCGGUAAACGGCGGCCGUAACUAUAACGGUCCUAAGGUAGCGAAAUUCCUUGUCGGGUAAGUUCCGACCUGCACGAAUGGCGUAAUGAUGGCCAGGCUGUCUCCACCCGAGACUCAGUGAAAUUGAACUCGCUGUGAAGAUGCAGUGUACCCGCGGCAAGACGGAAAGACCCCGUGAACCUUUACUAUAGCUUGACACUGAACAUUGAGCCUUGAUGUGUAGGAUAGGUGGGAGGCUUUGAAGUGUGGACGCCAGUCUGCAUGGAGCCGACCUUGAAAUACCACCCUUUAAUGUUUGAUGUUCUAACGUGGACCCGUAAUCCGGGUUGCGGACAGUGUCUGGUGGGUAGUUUGACUGGGGCGGUCUCCUCCUAAAGAGUAACGGAGGAGCACGAAGGUUGGCUAAUCCUGGUCGGACAUCAGGAGGUUAGUGCAAUGGCAUAAGCCAGCUUGACUGCGAGCGUGACGGCGCGAGCAGGUGCGAAAGCAGGUCAUAGUGAUCCGGUGGUUCUGAAUGGAAGGGCCAUCGCUCAACGGAUAAAAGGUACUCCGGGGAUAACAGGCUGAUACCGCCCAAGAGUUCAUAUCGACGGCGGUGUUUGGCACCUCGAUGUCGGCUCAUCACAUCCUGGGGCUGAAGUAGGUCCCAAGGGUAUGGCUGUUCGCCAUUUAAAGUGGUACGCGAGCUGGGUUUAGAACGUCGUGAGACAGUUCGGUCCCUAUCUGCCGUGGGCGCUGGAGAACUGAGGGGGGCUGCUCCUAGUACGAGAGGACCGGAGUGGACGCAUCACUGGUGUUCGGGUUGUCAUGCCAAUGGCACUGCCCGGUAGCUAAAUGCGGAAGAGAUAAGU
rnacentral:rRNA from 1 species